rnacentral:lncRNA from 1 species
UUUCGAGAAACCUUGUCCUUAGUUGCUUCCAGAGCGGCAUCCAGUGUGGAUACUUUAUUCUGUAGCAUACUUUCAGUAGAUUCCCACGCUCGGUUUACAACUUGGUGUUCUUCUCAAUGGCGAUCGUAGUCCUCCACGGUCCUUUGUAAUUUCCCGAAAAUAUCAUCACGAUCUUGGGAAAUCUCAGAAACCUUGCUCUCUAAGUCGGAAAUGCGGAAUUUUGCGUCUUCUAGUUCUUGGCGUAUUUUUUGCAUCGCCUCAGCAUCUCGGUUUA